rnacentral:rRNA from 1 species
CAAUAGCGUAUAUUAAAGUUGUUGCGGUUAAAAAGCUCGUAGUUGGAUUUCUGCCGAGGACGACCGGUCCGCCCUCUGGGUGUGUAUCUGGUUUGGCCUGGGCAUCUUCUUGGAGAACGUAGCUGCACUUGACUGUGUGGUGCGGUGUCCAGGACUUUUACUUUGAGGAAAUUAGAGUGUUUCAAGCAGGCACACGCCUUGAAUACAUUAGCAUGGAAUAAUAAGAUAGGACCUCGGUUCUAUUUUGUUGGUUUCUAGAGCUGAGGUAAUGAUUAAUAGGGAUAGUUGGGGGCAUUCGUAUUUAACUGUCAGAGGUGAAAUUCUUGGAUUUGUUGAAGACGAUCUACUGCGAAAGCAUUUGCCAGGGAUGUUUUCAUUGAC